AAUUCCAGCUCCAAUAGCGUAUAUUAAAGUUGUUGCAGUUAAAAAGCUCGUAGUUGAACCUUGGGCCUGGCUGGCCGGUCCGCCUCACCGCGAGUACUGGUCCGGCUGGGCCUUUCCUUCUGGGGAACCUCAUGGCCUUCACUGGCUGUGGGGGGAACCAGGACUUUUACUGUGAAAAAAUUAGAGUGUUCAAAGCAGGCCUUUGCUCGAAUACAUUAGCAUGGAAUAAUAGAAUAGGACGUGUGGUUCUAUUUUGUUGGUUUCUAGGACCGCCGUAAUGAUUAAUAGGGAUAGUCGGGGGCGUCAGUAUUCAGCUGUCAGAGGNAAAUCUGAUGGU
rnacentral:rRNA from 1 species